GCCCGGCUAGCUCAGUUGGUAGAGCAUUCGACUCUUAAGAAGUCACAUUGGAUGUCUUUCCUUGCUAUCGAAUUGUCGUGGGUUCGAGCCCCACGUUGGGCG